CCUGGUGGCUCAGACGGUGAAGUGUCUGCCUGCAAUGCAGAAGACCAGGGUUCGAUCCCUGGGCCAGGA
rnacentral:tRNA from 1 species